AUACGUAGGGGGCGAGCGUUGUCCGGAAUUACUGGGCGUAAAGGGUGCGUAGGCGGUACUUUAGGUUGGAUGUGAAAUACCCGGGCUUAACUUGGGGGGUGCAUCCAAUACUGGAGAACUAGAGUGCAGGAGAGGGAAGCGGAAUUCCUAGUGUAGCGGUGAAAUGCGUAGAUAUUAGGAGGAACACCAGUGGCGAAGGCGGCUUUCUGGACUGUAACUGACGCUGAGGCACGAAAGCGUGGGGAGCAAACAGGAUUAGAUACCCUGGUAGUCCACGCUGUAAACGAUGAAUACUAGGUGUAGGGGGUAUCAACUCCCUCUGUGCCGCAGCAAACGCAAUAAGUAUUCCGCCUGGGGAGUACGGCCGCAAGGUUGAAACUCAAAUGAAUUGACGGGG
rnacentral:rRNA from 1 species